rnacentral:misc_RNA from 1 species
ACUAGUUAAUAUGUAUGCAAAGUGUGGGUGUAUAGAGAAGGCAAAAGAAAUUUUUGAUGAGAUGCCAGUAAAGGAUAGUAAAGCUUGGAGCUCAAUGAUUGUUGGCUUGGCCAUUCAUGGACUUGCAGAGGAUGCAUUAGAGGUAUUUUCAAGGAUGGAAGAAGCAAAGGCCAAGCCGAACCAUGUAACCUUCAUUGGUAUUUUAUCUGCAUGCGCCCGUGGUGGACUAGUUUCAGAAGGAAAGAGACAUUGGUCGAGAAUGCUUGAAUUGGGAAUAGAACCUUCAAUGGAGCAUUAUGGUUGUAUGGUUGAUUUACUAUGCCGUGGAGGCCUUGUUGACGAGGCCUACAAUUUUGCGCUAUCCACACCCUCACCAAAUCCAGUGAUAUGGCGAACGUUACUUGUGGGCUACAAGAAAAGUAGGAUGUUACAACAAGCUGAAAUUGUUGCCGAGCAACUACUUGAACUAGAACCACUAAAUGCAGAAAAUUAUAUCAUUCUUUCAAAUUUGUAUGCCACUGUUUCACAGUGGGAGAAGAUGAGCCAUGUGAGAAAGAAGAUGAAGGAAAAAGGCAUCAAGGCAGUGCCCGGAUGCACCUCUAUUGAGAUUGAUGGCUUUUUGCAUGAGUUCGUAAUGGGUGAUUGGUCACACCCUGAGGCAGAGGAAAUAAAAAGAACUCUGAAGGAUGUAUCUGUGAGGAUUCAUAGUACUGGGUAUGAGCCAUGUGUGUCUUCUGUGCUGCAUAAUGUGGAUGAUGAAGAGAGAGAGAAUUCUCUGUCUGAGCACAGUGAGAGGCUGGCCAUCGCUUAUGGCCUGCUGAAGACUAAAGCACCAGCAGCAAUUAGGAUAGUUAAGAAUCUGACAGUUUGUUGGGACUGCCAUGAAGUGACGAAAAUUAUCAGUAGAGUUUAUAACCGGGAAAUUAUUGUAAGGG